UUUCUGUGAUUCCAGAACAUUUGGUUCCCUUACCAGGAAUUGGGAAAGAAGCGGCCCUUUGGGGCAUCAGCACGAACUGCACUGGAGGGAGCAGCUCUUUGUCUCCUCUAGAGGAAAGGCUUGCCCCUGGGACUAAUUUCCUAGGCUCCUCAGCAGGACACAGAGAUCCACUCAUCAGAUGCAGAUCACCCAAACCCAAGACAGAAAAUGACAGAAGGAGGGCUGCUGCUGUUGGUGUCUCAUCUGUCUCUUUCCUUUGCUGGGAAACUUGUGUCCCGAUGCAAACGAGCUCUAGAUUCUCUGGAAAGCAAAAAGGAGAGCGAGGAGAGGAAGUUUCUCCAAUUUCUUUACUUCCCACCUGCUGGUCUGUCUGAUUUCCUGUCCAGCUCUGUCUGGUAAGGAAUUGACUCUCCCCCUCCUCUCCCGCCCUCGCCCUCCUGCCUUCCUCCCUCUCCUCCCUGAGUAACGAUGCUGUCCUAGCAAGUGAUGCUGUCCCAGCAAGUGAUGCUGUCCCAGCCUCGAGGCCAGCACGGAGCAGGCAUCGCAGCCGCUGCCUCAGG
rnacentral:lncRNA from 1 species